rnacentral:lncRNA from 1 species
AAUAACUUACUCUUUUUUUAAAAAAAAUUAAAUAAUAAUUUUAUAUAUGUCUUGCAAAUAUAGUGAAUGACAAAUAUAUUUCUAUAAAGUUCAACUUUUAUAUAUUGUCUUUACAAAAGUUUUGAUAUUUUCAAAUAUGUCCAUUUGAUUUGUUACCAUCAAAGAACGAUUUAUAUUUUCAAUUUUGUCAUUACAAAUGUAUCCCUUCAAAAUCAUAACAGUAUAAUAUAAAGAGGUAAAAAUAUCAAAAACUAAUCAUGGUUAAAUAUUUAACCUAUGGUUAAUUAAAAUUUUCUAACGGAUUCUAAUGGUAGAGAAAUAUUUGAAAACAUCGAGACUUUUGCAGAAACAAUAUAUGAAAGUUAAUUUUUGUGGGAAUAUAUUUAUCAUUCACUAUAUUUGUAGGGACCUGUAUGAAAUUAAUCAAAAAAAAAAAACGCAUUACUCGCUUCAUUCAUUUGAAAAGUUAAUUGAGUUAUAAAAUAUAAGGCUACUGGACCACAAUAAUAAUAAUAAU